rnacentral:lncRNA from 1 species
AGCGAUUUCCGUCGGAAAAUCACAAAAAUUGAAAUGGUCAUAACUUGGUCGUUUUAAGCCGGAAUUAGCUCAUUUUUGGACACGAGCUACAUAUUACCAUAUAUUUUCAUUUCCCAAAAGCCUGUAAUUUUUCUCAUUAACUAAAUGUCCAAAACAGCCCUCGGAAAAUUUUGGCCAGAAACUUUUUGCACUUUGGCAGUUUUGGAGUCCUUCACCAAAACUUAAAUAAAACGAAAUCUGUAACUCCGAUUAAUGAUCCGUCAAUUUUGUUGGAUUCGUAUCUUUCCGAACUAUAGUUUUCAUAUAUCACAAUCCAUAUUUGGAUAUGUUUAGCUCCCGAAAUUUAACCCGGAAAUGGCUGUUAAAAACUGUCCUUCUAACAGUUUUUCUUAACUUUGUGUAGUUUGGUAGAAAUCCCAUAACUUGCUCCUCCGAUGUCGGAUUUAGUCCGUUUCGGAGUCUAUGGAAAGCUUAUUGAGUGUACUAUAACAUAUCACAAGUCCAGAAUUUUUAGAGCACCCUAACAAAUCCGAAAUUUUCUG